GUCAGUGAGGCAGAACACGGCUUCAGACAGCAGCCUGGUAGGGGGUCCAUGGCCACUGAACCGACGACAGAGUGGACAGCCGAAAGCUGCUCUGUCUUGCACUAUCCAAGUACUACAAUAUACCGCGGUGCUUGGUGUUCUGUAGGUCUGAAUCCUAAAGGAUGUGUUGUAUCUCAGCACACUCGCUGCAGGCUCUGACAAUGCCUGUGGAAUGCUGUUACUCCUGGUGUCUCAGAUACAAUAGCGGGAUUUGCUUGCUGUUGUUGUGAUCUUAUAUCUGACUGCAGAUGUGGAACUACAUGUUUUACUCCUCUGUCAGGAUCCUGGGCAUGUAUGGAUGGACUGAGUAUGAUGUGCUUUGUAAAGCUGUUUGAGGGAAUGGUUGUACUGAAUUGACCAAAAUUCUUUACAGGGUUGUGAUGAGAUAGACUCAGACAUCAGAGUAGUCAUGACGUCCUCACAUGAGGAAUGAUGAAACAACUGAUUGAAUAUUGUUAUUGUCAGAAGUCUAAAAGCUGGAACUGACACUGAGAAGUGAAUAUGUUCUAUGAACGGUAUAUCUUUCAAUAGAUCCUAACUUCCUGUCGGGUGAAAUAACAUCAUUCAGAAUGUUCUAGCUACCAUCCAUUUUAGGAAAGCUACAUCUUGAACUGUAAGGGUCGUCGUUGGGACUAAUGAAGGGGUGUGUCUAUUGAUAUUGAGAGACCAUGUCAUUAUAUCUACUGUACUAUGGUGGGUUAGGAAAAGAUCUGACCACUCUGUGCAACUCACAUAUUUUUCUAUAAUGAAAACUGUGUACAGAAAUAUUUUAAAAGUGUGUUUUUUUAACAUGGUUGUUUAAUGUGACUGAUAGUUACUUUUGCCUUAAAUUGUAUUUUGUUGUCGUGUAGAAUUAUGAAAAUUACAAUAUUAUCCUAAUUGCUUGACCAAAGUAGAAGUUUGACAUUCAUGAGAAGGUGUGUUGUAUCGACUUGAUAUUUUGUCUUGUAUACAUUUGAAGUAUAUUCUGAAAGGGAGUCAUGCGUCAUGCAUGCACUGUGAGUGUGUGUUAUUGUGUGUGUGUGUGUACGUUUCUGUAUAUUCAAGUAUUAAGUAUUUAUGGUGUAAAUACCUGUAGCUCCAAUAUGCUCCUGAGCACAACAAGUAAAGACCAUGUAUUCUGGAGGAAGAAGUCAAAGGUUGGUCAGUGUUGCCUGUUCUUCAAGGCAGGAGUAGUAUUGUGUUCUUUAAGGCAGGAGUAGUAGUGUGUUCUUCAAGGCAGGAGUAGUAUUGUGUUCUUCAGGGCAGGAGUAGUAUUGUGUUCUUCAAGGCAGGAGUAGUACUGUGUUCUUCAAGGCAGGAGUAGUAUUGUGUUCUUCAAGGCAGGAGUAGUAGUGUGUUCUUCAAGGCAGGAGUAGUAGUGUGUUCUUCAAGGCAGGAGUAGUAUUGUGUUCUUCAAGGCAGGAGUAGUAGUGUGUUCUUCAAGGCAGGAGUAGUAGUGUGUUCUUCAAGGCAGGAGUAGUAGUGUGUUCUUCAAGGCAGGAGUAGUAGUGUGUUCUUCAAGGCAGGAGUAGUAUUGUGUUCUUCAAGGCAGGAGUAGUAGUGUGUUCUUCAAGGCAGGAGUAGUAGUGUGUUCUUCAAGGCAGGAGUAGUAGUGUGUUCUUCAAGGCAGAAGUAGUAUUGUGUUCUUCAAGGCAGGAGUAGUAGUGUGUUCUUCAAGGCAGAAGUAGUAUUGUGUUCUUCAAGGCAGGAGUAGUAGUGUGUUCUUCAAGGCAGGAGUAGUAGUGUGUUCUCAUAUGGGUCAGAUUUAACACAAGUGUCUCACCAAGAAUUGCACUGGCAAGGUUUUUAUAACUGUUGAGAAAGAGCAAGAGCUUUUAGAGUGGUCUCAGGGUUAAGCUUCAAACCCCAUUGACUGGAGAAGAAUCCUCCCCGUUGGCAGGAAACCAGAAGCAUAGAGAGAGUGACAGUUAGUUAUUUGCUUUCCUCUUUUAUUGAACCACAUAGAGUAACACACUUUCGGGCCUGUACCUAAGCUUACUAAACUAAUGACAGAACAGUAGCUCUAUUUAAAACAUGUGAAUGUAAGACAGUUUCUGUAUCCCCAUCCCUAUAAUAAUGUCAAUAACAUACCAGCAACAAUGUCCUGGUCUGGGUGAAUACUGUUUGAUAGGAUGAUAUACACUUUGACUUGUGAUUUGUAUCUUGAUCAUGACAAUGUCAUCUGAUCGUGACGAUGUCUUAACUUAACCCAUCAAUAUAAUGUGUUGUACACUGUAUGGUACUCACUGUAUUUUCAACGACACUACCAUUGGGUGUUGUACAGUGUGUGGUACUCACUGUAUUUUCAACGACACUACCAUUGGGUGUUGUACAGUGUGUGGUACUCACUGUAUUUUCAACGACACUACCAUUGGGUGUUGUACACUGUGUGGUACUCACUGUAUUUUCAACGACACUACCAUUGGGUGUUGUACAGUGUGUGGUACUCACUGUAUUUUCAACA
ensembl:lncRNA